UACGGGGGGGGCAAGCGUUGUUCGGAAUUACUGGGCGUAAAGGGCGUGUAGGUGGCCAACUAAGUCCGACGUGAAAUCCCCAGGCUUAACCUGGGAACUGCGUCGGAUACUGGAUGGCUUGAAUUCGGGAGAGGGAUGCAGAAUUCCAGGUGUAGCGGUGAAAUGCGUAGAUAUCGAGAGGAACACCUGCGGCGAAGGCGGGUUGCUGGGCUGACACUGACGCUGAAGCGCGAAAGCUAGGGGAGCGAACGGG
rnacentral:rRNA from 1 species